rfam:Enterococcus dispar ATCC 51266 genomic scaffold acpMG-supercont1.1, whole genome shotgun sequence.
UAAUCCUUUAAGAGUAGUCCCGUGAGGCUAAGAAGGAGUUGAGCAAGAACUUUAGUAAGGUGCGCCUUAGUAGAACUUGCCUAGUGAAUUGUAGUAAAAAGGGUCAGUGGAUCCAGAUACUAAAUCAAUUAUCACUCCUGCCUAAUUUCGGGUAGGAGUUUUUUUGU